rfam:Triticum aestivum genome assembly, contig: Triticum_aestivum_CS42_TGACv1_scaffold_642108_T_4AS-0.289360_4AL-0.189816
AUAGUACUCCCUUCGUCCUGAAAUACUUGUCAUCAAAAUGGAUGAAAAUGGAUGUAUCUAUAACUAAAAUACAUCUAGAUACAUUCAUUUCAAUGACAAGUAUUUCUGGACGGAGCGAGUACAAU